UCCUUUUGAUAAAAAAUGCAUAAAUUGGUUGACAACUUCAGCGCUGAAGUAAUCAACCAGACUUGAUAACUUUUACAUUUUUAGAAUUUACUUUUGCUUUUCUUUACAAUGCAUUUCCUUUGUGAUUAAAUUACGAACUGUCUGUAAUUGUUUUUUGUGGAAUAUCAAGAGUUUUAUAUGCACAAGAUGCUACUAUUUCAUACUGAAACACUUUUGAUAAAGGAUUAAAUAAGGAUUAAGUUGAAAACACAAAAUGCAGUAAUCAGCUGCAUGCCUACUUCCUCUUGUGGCCACAAGACAUUUGCUUCCUGUGAGAGAUUAGCUACACUUAAAAAUUAUCAGUCAGCAGCCUUGCUUAUUUCAUUGUGUUUGUUAUGCAAUGAGAAAGCAGAAAUUCAACCAGACAAACACUUGCACAUACUUUCCUGAGAAGGUGAAAAUAUGCUUUGAGUUAUGUUGGGGGUUCAGUUACAGUGAUAAGGCUAUGGUGGAAAAAACUGCCAUAGACUCUUUUUAUCUUACCGAUUUCAACUUUUAUGUUUUUCACGUUUCCCUAAAGGCAUCAUUAUAACGACGUACUCAACGUUGUUGCUAGAAGAUACGCCUUACUUUCAACUUUGGUCAGUUCACUUAAUGAAAUACGCAAGCUAAAAUUCAAGUUUAUGGCAGCUGUAUGAUCAAAUUAACAAUUUUCAGGUGCAACACAAGAACAGACACAUGUGCGGUAACACCUGAGUAACUGCUUCUGGUGUUGUUCUGGAUGCUCCUCAGCCUCCUGCCUGAUUAGAGCGACUGGGAAAAUCUGUGUGCAGGAUGGGUGGAGUCAUGAUGUGGAGUGAACAGGUCAGAUUGCUAUUGAUUAGGCACAACAUUGGUAAUGGGCUUGACCUUCUAAUUUUCAGAAUUUUCUCAGUAAAGAAGUUAGUAAAAUUGUUUCAGGUCCUGGUGGACUGGAGUUAAUUUGCCUUGGUUACAUGGUGGUUUGAUUUCAGAAAAGGAUUCCUUGCAUUCUUCAGUUGUAAGUUAUAUAUGUGAAGUGAAGUCUCUCUCUAUAGAUGUCACAGUGAACCUGCAGUCCAGUCCUACAGUUCAAAUUUUGACAAUCCCUUCUAACCAGUGGAGCACCACAGGGACUUCUUCCUACCAAAGACGACCUUCAUUUUAAAGGGAGCAAUAGUAUUGAUUAUGUCUGAAAUGUUAGAAGGAAAGUUACCAGCUAAUUACUGUGCCAAAGUGGCAAAGGAUAGAAAGAGAUGGAAGAAUAAACUUGAUCAAAGUGUUCAGCUGAGUCAGUCGCUGAGAUAACGUCUUGCUACAUCAGAAUUUUUUUUUAAAUAAAGUCUCUCAAUUAAAGAGAUUGGAAAUAUUUAGAAACCCAGUAACUUACUGAUUAUCAAGUCAAGUGUGUGUCUCUGUGUGUUUGAUGCACAACAUGUUGAUUCAAAACUAAAUUUUGAAGUGUUUCAUAUGGUUCUUUUGCUUCUUUGAGACACUUUAAUGCAAACUACAUCUCGUUGCUUGUACUUGUGACAGUGCAAUGACAAUAAAGUUGAAUUCUAUUCUAUUCUACUUUAACAUCCAUGUUGACAACCCCAUGUUGUCAACAUGGAAACAACAUGGGAUUGUCAACACAAGCAACACAGAUGAUAACUGAAAUUCCCAAAGAAGUUCAUACAAGGCUAGAAAAAUAGUUCAAAUAGGGUCUUUGCCUGAAUAGCAAAACAUUCAAAAGGGUCAAAGUUCCCCAUUAGCAUCUUUUUACAGUUUUAGUGAAUCAUGAAAUAAGGUAGCAACAUUUCCCCUCCCCGUUCUUGUCAGGUCAAGAAUCUCAAUUUGUUUCCUUUGGGGGAAAUUCUUUCUGUCCCGGGAAAAUCUGCUACAACAAUUGCAUUAUCCAGUCGACAGCAUAAAGAAUAGUAUUCUAAAAUAAUACAAACAGAAAUCAUAAAACGUUUAUCAAUCAUCCUCCCACAGAGUCUGUCUUAUUUUAAGCCAUUUAUCAAUCCCAAACAUCAACACAUGCAGAUUUUUUAAAUCUUUAUGGAUUUUCUGCACUCUCUUAGAAAAUUGUCAAUAGGAGGCGUUAACUCGAUCAGUAUAGGUGACUCACUAUUUCUAUUCAUCCCCAAAAUGUACAAGGAGAAUGAAGGUGUUUAAAGCUAAAAUGUUACAUCUACAGUUCUGCAUUAUCUCACAUCAUUUCUUUAUAAUGACAUUAUUUCAGGCAGAGUGUUUGAAAGUCUUUCAAAAAUGUUUUCAUUGUACAUUUAGUUUUGUCCAAUCCUUACAACUGAUCAGUAAAGUUGGUUUGGUUACCAAGACAGACAGAAAACAGAAAACCAGCUUCCAUAAGGACAAAUUAGCCUAUUCCAUCCAAAUAAGAAAUAAAGAUUGAAUGUAAAUUAAAAUAUGUAUAAAUCACCUUGACAAGUUUACAAUGACAACAAAACAUCUUACAGCUAAAAGGAAACAAUUUUAAAUGGUGAUUUUAAGCAGGAAGGCACAUAUAUUAAGAUUUAUAUGAUUUUUGUGAAAAAAUUUAACUGAACUAAUUGAUCUGCUUUACCUAUAAACACAAAUAUAAACCUCGCCACUUAAACUUAAAACAAAUGUUUAGUUUC